CAGCCGCCGCGGGAAUACGGAGGGGGCUAGCGUUGUUCGGAAUUACUGGGCGUAAAGCGCACGUAGGCGGCUUGGUAAGUUAGAGGUGAAAGCCCGGAGCUCAACUCCGGAAUUGCCUUUAAGACUGCCGAGCUAGCAGGUGAGAGAGGUAAGUGGAAUUCCGAGUGUAGAGGUGAAAUUCGUAGAUAUUCGGAAGAACACCAGUGGCGAAGGCGGCUUACUGGCUCAUACUGGACGCUGAGGUGCGAAAGCGUGGGGAGCAAACAGGAUUAGAUACCCCGGUAGUCCCUGUCUCUUAUAA
rnacentral:rRNA from 1 species